AACUUAGCGCCAAGCCUCCUACCUAUUUUUUCAUUCGGCUUCGAUACGUGCCACGAGCCCACGACCAAAUCCAAAUCCCCCAAACCUAAAUCCUCUCACGCAGUCCCUCCGCCGCCGCCCGCUAGCUAGCCGCCCGCACGCCGCCGACCGCCCACCGUCUCCACCACGCCGUCACCUGUCUCCUUCAUCCUCCUGCACCCCCACUGCUUAGGCCCCAAACACUACUAACCCUGCGCUAGAGUUCGGGGAGAGGCCAAGGCGCGGUGGUGGACGCCGCCAUCCCUCUCAGAUCCGGGGCUGAGAGAGGGAGGGGGGAGGGAGAGGUGGGUCACCUGCGAGAGAGAUCACUCGCGCCCUCGCUCGUCAGUCGUCACCCAGGGGCCGCCACCACCGCCACCAUGCCAUGGGCUUCCUCCGAUCUGCGCUCGCCGGUUCGUUCGAAGAAGGAUCUGGUCGUUGACUGCUGGUGAUUCCCCUCCCACCGGUGAUCAGCCAUGACUUGGAAUAGUACUUCUAUCCAGCAAGCAUCGUUUUGGAUGUGAGCUCGAGCUCAAGCAACAAGCAGAGCAUCAAAAACAGGGGCUCUAUCUGCUAAUGGGGUAGCCGGCAAUGCAGUCUAAGAGGAUUCUUCUUUGCAUCCCAUACACUUGGACGGAGUGGGAGGCCGCCGCAGCGAUGCUGGACUCGGAGCCCAAGCCAUCCCACGCCGCCAACAACUUGCACCUCUUCGCGGAAAUCACCACAAGUGUGAUGUCUGUAUAGAAAAUCAGUACUUUCUUGGUUCAUAUCCUAUCUGAAACUUGGAAUGUUUAUUGUUAGGCACAGCUUGACUUUCACAGUAGCCUGCAUAUUCUUCUGCUCACAAACAAGGCAGAACAUGCACCAUAGAAUGCUGGGAGAACAUAGAUUUAUUUUGCUCUUCGUACUUUUAUUAGAUAAGCCACAUUGCAAGGAGAAUAUGGAUUUAUGUUGCUCUUCCUACUAUUAUAAGAUAGGCCACAUUCUUUUUGUUUCAUUCAUGCCUUUGUUGCUGACAGUAUGGUUGUGUAAAUUCAACAUUGAUUUUUAAUGUUAGUACAUGAUUUACACAAAACUGGUAUUCAUAUUACUUGAGAUGUUGCAGGUACUGGCAGUCUGAUGCCUUCAGAAUUGGCUCUCAAAACUUUCAACCAAGAUUAGAGCUAGCGUGCAGUUUGCAGUUUAUAGUCAUACUCAUACUCAAUGAGUCCCUACCUCGGCUUCUGGGCAAGAUAUUCUUUACUUUUAGCAACCACUAUUGUUCAGGAAUUUUGAGUGGCGCACAUCCUGGUAUGGUGAGAGGCAAGCCGACGACCGGACAUCAUUUGUCAAGCUGAUAUUUGUCCAGCCAUUCCAGUCGUCAAGCGCCUUGCCGCUUCACAGGGCGUGCUGCAUCGCACAGCAUCGCGGCUUCACACCGCCAUCGGCAUCUCACCAUGUGCGCCGCAUCGCACGGCAGCCCGGAAGCAAACAGAACGACUACACUCACAAGGAACCAUGAAGCCAACGAUCCACGUCAACUAGAUGUUUUAGCUUUCAUUUUGUAUAACUGAUGUCUCAUACUUGCAUCUUUUGGCUGUCCUUUUGUAAACCUGAUGUAUGGUGUCUCAGUGGUUUUGUUUAGAACAGAUUGAAAUGUAUGUAUGUGUCAAUUACUUAAUGGAAUAAAAAAUGUUUGAUGGUCCCGAUGUGAGCCUGA